CCUACGGGUGGCAGCAGUGAGGAAUAUUGGUCAAUGGGCGGAAGCCUGAACCAGCCAAGUCGCGUGAGGGAUUAAGGCCCUGCGGGUCGUAAACCUCUUUUGCCGGGGAGCAGUGGUCCGGACGUGUCCGGGCCGGGAGAGUACCCGGAGAAAAAGCAUCGGCUAACUCCGUGCCAGCAGCCGCGGUAAUACGGAGGACGCGAGCGUUAUCCGGAUUUAUUGGGUUAAAAGGGUGCGUAGGCGGGCGUUAAAGCCGGCGGUCAAAUGUCGGGGCUCAACCCCGGCCUGCCGUCGGAACUGGGUGCCUUGAGUGGAGGAGAAGUAUGCGGAAUGCGUGGUGUAGCGGUGAAAUGCAUAGAUAUCACGCAGAACCCCGAUUGCGAAGGCAGCAUACCGGCGCCCUACUGACGCUGAGGCACGAAAGUGCGGGUAUCGAACAGGAUUAGAUACCCCUGUAGUC
rnacentral:rRNA from 1 species